AACGCGAAGAACCUUACCUGGGCUCGAACGGCUUUGGAUCGACGGUGGAAACACUGUUUUCCCGCAAGGGACCGGAGUCGAGGUGCUGCAUGGCUGUCGUCAGCUCGUGUCGUGAGAUGUUGGGUUAAGUCCCGCAACGAGCGCAACCCUUAUCCCUAGUUGCCAUCGGGUCAAGCCGGGCACUCUAGUGAAACCGCCCAGGAUAACUGGGAGGAAGGUGGGGAUGACGUCAAGUCCUCAUGGCCUUUAUGUCCAGGGCUACACACGUGCUACAAUGGUCGGUACAAACCGUCGCAAACCCGCGAGGGGGAGCUAAUCGGAAAAAGCCGGCCUCAGUUCGGAUUGGAGUCUGCAACCCGACUCCAUGAAGCUGGAAUCGCUAGUAAUCGCGGAUCAGAACGCCGCGGUGAAUACGUUCCCGGGCCUUGUACACACCGGUACUA
rnacentral:rRNA from 1 species